rnacentral:rRNA from 1 species
UACGUAGGGUGCGAGCGUUAAUCGGAAUUACUGGGCGUAAAGCGUGCGCAGGCGGUUUUGUAAGCCAGAUGUGAAAUCCCCGGGCUCAACCUGGGAAUGGCAUUUGGGACUGCAAGGCUCGAGUGCGGCAGAGGAGACUGGAAUUCCCGGUGUAGAGGUGAAAUUCGUAGAUAUCGGGAGGAACACCGGUGGCGAAGGCGGCGACCUGGUUCGAUACUGACACUGAGGUGCGAAAGCGUGGGGAGCAAACAGG